rnacentral:rRNA from 1 species
UACAGAGGGUGCGAGCGUUAAUCGGAAUUACUGGGCGUAAAGCGCACGUAGGCGGCUUGGUAUGUCGGGUGUGAAAUCCCCGGGCUCAACCUGGGAACUGCAUCCGAAACUGCCUUGCUAGAGUAUGGGAGAGGGAAGUGGAAUUUCCGGUGUAGCGGUGAAAUGCGUAGAUAUCGGAAGGAACACCUGUGGCGAAGGCGGCCCCCUGGUUGGAUACUGACGCUGAGACGCGAAAGCGUGGGGAGCAAACAGG